CAGAAAUCCGCCUGCCUCUGCCUCCCAAGUGCUGGGAUCAAAGGCGUGCGCCACCACGCCUGGCUAGUAACUACUUUUGAUAGUAUCCUUUCGAACCAUCAGACAUUUGCCGGACAGUGUAGGCAUGAUCUCACUUCCUCUGUGCACAGCUCCUGGUUUGCCUGAGAAAGGAAGGGUCCUUGGUAAGUAACUUGCCCAACGUGGCACAGUGAGUGUCAGAGUCUAGACUUCUUCGGUCUGCCAUUUUACUUAGUGAAGUCCAGGCUCCUGCUGUUUGUGCACUGAUUGGUGAGGAUUGAGCCUAGUAGCCUCUGUGAACACUGUUUAAGUCUGUCUCUGGGGCAAGUAGGUAAAUGGAUGGUCAUGGAUGUGUUUCAAUAAAACUUUUUAAAACUGGGCAGAAUUACGAGUCCUUGUGCGAAACUAUCCUCAAGGCUAGAUGAACGUGUUUAAGGACACGGCCGACUGCGUAGCCACCAGGUAGCUGCAUGGUUACUGUCUUCACCAUGAGAUGGGUGAAGACCAGAAGGUCAGUCAGUGUUGUAUAUAUGCCUCAAUCCUAACUUUUUGACAGGGUCUCCCCUUUAACCCAAAGUCAUCAAUUCAGCUAGACUGGCUGGCCAGUGAAGUCUAGGCAUCCUCCUGUCUCCACUCCAGCCCUAGGACAACAGACAUGAACUUCCUUCCCUGCUUGGCUUUUUCAAUGAGUCAUCCGCACAGACGCUCUGCCUGAUGGCCUGGAAGAGCAGCUCCCCCCACGAAGCCUGAAGGAAUGCUGCCUGCAGCCUCCAGCUCCUGGGCUUCCUGGUAUCUGCCUGAGUCACCUGCUUCCUCCGUUAGUCUCUUGGGAGUAUAGCUUGUCCCAAGUACCAGUUACCCCUUUCACCUAACUUCACCUAUGCCUGCUUUGGUCCACUGUGUGUUAACUCUACGGUGUCCUACAUUCUCAGGUGCCCCUGCUGUGGCCACACGCAGUGCCUUCCAGACCUCCUAGCUAUUAUUACUCUGUCUGCUGAGCAGAGAGCUACUUAAAUAACCUCCGGGUUACAGCGAUAACCCAAAGGCCAGCGUGUCACACUGCCCGAACCCCUAUCUGAUGCCAGUGUCACUCCCUCAGAGACAACAGGGGACAGACACUUGAGAAGCUUGUGUUCUGCAUUCCUGUGAGCUUUGUGUCGAGUCAUGUGGGUUCAGAGGUGUCACUUCGGCAGCUUCUGUUUCUUGGCAGUGACCUUCAGACCUAAAAGUGGGCCACCGGAUGCUCUAGAGGGGACAUUGAGAAAAUAUCCAAUGUGUCCCCAGCCUUCUCAGGGUAUCACAGAGCAUGAACAAAUAUAUCCCGUGCCUUCCCUGUAAGCUAGACUAGCCACUACGCUGGGCCUGAGGGAGAGGGGUACAAAGGCAGCCAGGGCUGCUCUAUCAGCUGCUUCAUCAAUAGUUCAUGAUGGGUAAGGGUAGCUGUAACCUUCCUAGUUUACUCUGUGGGGUCCAGUGGAUCUCACACUCCAACACAGUUACUCUUGCCCCACAUCAGUCUCCCGGUAGCCCAGAACAGGAAAGGAUCCCGGGCCACACCCAGUGUCCGGCACACUUCACAAAUCUAUCCUUUUUAUCUGCAAGCAGCAGGACACUGUUUUCCCAGAGUAGCUACUGCCAGAAUGAAAGUCCCAGUCUUAUGCCCAUGUUAGGACCGUCUUUGGAAGGAGCCCAGAAGGGCACUCCAGUGCCAGAAGGGCUGGGCUUAAGGUAUCUUUUCCCUACAGACAUACACACAUCAUCUUAAAGGAUUUGAAAUGACUAACUGUUGCACGAACAAACAUCUAUUCACCCAGACAGGAACAGAUGACAGUCUGAAAAAAUCAGUACGCUAAGUCCAUCCUGGAACAUAUGAGUCUACGGGGAGUUACCGGAGUGAGAUGGAGGACUCACCCCCACACAGGCAGCGGGGCCUCAGGAGCCACUACCUACCUUCACUGCCCCCACUGAAUGGCCUCCAGAUGCUGUAAGAGAUUGAAGAGAAAGAUUAAGAUUCCCUUCCCCUGCCAUCACCCCGUCGCCUCAAGUGAGUGUUUAUGGUAUCCCUGGACAUUGACGGCUAAGCAUCAUCUCGGUCCAUCUGGGGCUUCCUGAUGACUGAGGUCUUUAUGAGGCUUUCCUGAUGACUGAUGAUUAAUUAGUAUCCUGGCAUUCCUGAGUGCUAGGCGCAUGCUCUAGGCUGCAUGCUCUGACCCAGGGUUAUCUCGGAAGGCCUCACUAAUCCCUUUCUUGAUUCCCCCAGAAGCUCAGGGCUUGAUGAGACCACCCAGUUCUGUCAGACUCUGGAAUGUGCCCCCAGUGGUCACGCCCUAUUUCUUCCUUCUGUCUUUUCCGUGUACGCAGGCACAAGUGUGCAUGUGUAUAUGUGUGUGCAUGUGUGUAAGGGGUGUACCCAUAUACUCACGAGGAAGACAUUAAUUGACUCACUCUAUCAUGCUAUCAUGCCCUAUUUCCAUGAGAAAUGAUCCUCACUGAUCUUUGAGAUAGGCUGGAAGCAACCCCCAGUAAUUCUCCUGCCUCUACCAACCACAGUGCUAGGGACUAUUUUUGACACAGGGUUUCUGUA